AUUGAACGCUGGCGGCAGGCCUAACACAUGCAAGUCGAGCGAGAGGCGGACGGGUGAGUAAUGUCUGGGAAACUGCCUGAUGGAGGGGGAUAACUACUGGAAACGGUAGCUAAUACCGCAUACCAUCAGAUGUGCCCAGAUGGGAUUAGCUAGUAGGUGGGGUAACGACUAACCUAGGCGACGAUCCCUAGCUGGUCUGCGAGGAGGACCAGCAACACGGGAACGGAGACACGGUCCAGACUCGUACGGGAGGCACCAGUGGGGACUAUUGCACAAUGGGCGCAAGCCUGAUGCGGCCAGGCCGCGUGUGUGAGGAAGGCCUUCGGGUUGUAAAGCACUUUCAGCGGGGAGGCGUUACCCGAAGAGGAAGCAACGGCUAACUCCGUGCCAGCCGCCGCGGUAAUUC
rnacentral:rRNA from 1 species